rnacentral:rRNA from 1 species
UACGGAGAGUGCAAGCAUUUAUCGGAAUUACUGGGCGUAAAGGGCGCGUAGGCGGCCUUCUAAGUCGAACGUGAAAUCCCCGGGCUCAACCCGGGAACUGCGUCCGAUACUGGAAGGCUUGAAUCCGGGAGAGGGAUGUGGAAUUCCAGGUGUAGCGGUGAAAUGCGUAGAUAUCUGGAGGAACACCGGUGGCGAAGGCGACAUCCUGGACCGGUAUUGACGCUGAGGCGCGAAAGCCAGGGGAGCAAACGGG